AUUGAACGCUGGCGGAAUGCUUUACACAUGCAAGUCGAACGGUAGAGGGGGCAACCCCUCGAGAGUGGCGAACGGGUGAGUAAUAUAUCGGAACGUGCCCAGUCGUGGGGGAUAACGUAGCGAAAGUUACGCUAAUACCGCAUACGAUCUACGGAUGAAAGCGGGGGACUCGCAAGAGCCUCGCGCGAUUGGAGCGGCCGAUAUCAGAUUAGGUAGUUGGUGGGGUAAAGGCUCACCAAGCCAACGAUCUGUAGCUGGUCUGAGAGGACGACCAGCCACACUGGAACUGAGACACGGUCCAGACUCCUACGGGAGGCAGCAGUGGGGAAUUUUGGACAAUGGACGCAAGUCUGAUCCAGCCAUUCCGCGUGCAGGAUGAAGGCCCUCGGGUUGUAAACUGCUUUUGUACGGAACGAAAAGGUCUCUAUUAAUACUAGGAGCUCAUGACGGUACCGUAAGAAUAAGCACCGGCUAACUAACGUG
rnacentral:rRNA from 1 species